GUCAGGUGUGAGAACUGGAGACAAAGGUGCCACAGUGAGCUUGGAGGCAUGAAGUUGUCAUGCACUGAACUAUAAAUGGAAUAGGCCAGGUGACCCUUUUUAGGGUUUAAGGAUGGCGAGCUUCUGACACCUGGAUGGGAUCCAGGAGAACCUGAAAUUUACUCCAUAUUGGUCUGGUAGAAGACUGACGGUCUAUAUUUCCCCCUCCAUCUCACCAUACUGACACACAAGCCAUUAUUCACCUCUUCUCCAUUCGAAACAAACUGUGCUUGGGCAUUUUCCCCUCAAAUAUAUGGACAAUCAAACUAUGGACCUUUCAAAUGUGUGUCAGUCAGACACUGUGCUGACCCGUGGGGACAUUUAGCACUUUUGUUGCAUAGUUGAAAAUAUUGUGCACAUUCGUAUGGAAGAUUUACUGCAGUGCUAUGUAUAUGUAUUUUGUAUUUAUUUUUUGGGUUCUAUGUUUGUUUGUGUCUUGUAGUGUUCACUUUAAUUUUUCUUCUUUUAAAAUACACGGCAUUGAAAGCAGUUCCUCUUUUAUGUUGUUUUUAUUGUUACUGACAACCGCUUCAGUAGAUUCGUCUAGUCUUCUGAUAUGA